UGUUUGAUGUUCUAACGUGGACCCGUGAUCCGGGUUGCGGACAGUGUCUGGUGGGUAGUUUGACUGGGGCGGUCUCCUCCUAAAGAGUAACGGAGGAGCACGAAGGUUGGCUAAUCCUGGUCGGACAUCAGGAGGUUAGUGCAAUGGCAUAAGCCAGCUUGACUGCGAGCGUGACGGCGCGAGCAGGUGCGAAAGCAGGUCAUAGUGAUCCGGUGGUUCUGAAUGGAAGGGCCAUCGCUCAACGGAUAAAAGGUACUCCGGGGAUAACAGGCUGAUACCGCCCAAGAGUUCAUAUCGACGGCGGUGUUUGGCACCUCGAUGUCGGCUCAUCACAUCCUGGGGCUGAAGUAGGUCCCAAGGGUAUGGCUGUUCGCCAUUUAAAGUGGUACGCGAGCUGGGUUUAGAACGUCGUGAGACAGUUCGGUCCCUAUCUGCCGUGGGCGCUGGAGAACUGAGGGGGGCUGCUCCUAGUACGAGAGGACCGGAGUGGACGCAUCACUGGUGUUCGGGUUGUCAUGCCAAUGGCACUGCCCGGUAGCUAAAUGCGGAAGAGAUAAGUGCUGAAAGCAUCUAAGCACGAAACUUGCCCCGAGA
rnacentral:rRNA from 7 species